rnacentral:misc_RNA from 1 species
AACGCACAUUGCGCCCAUUAGUAUUCUAGUGGGCAUGCCUGUUCGAGCGUCAUUUCAACCCUCAAGCCCCAGUUGCUUGGUGUUGGGAGCCUGCCCCUCUAGGGGGGCAGCUCCUUAAAGCUAUUGGCGGAGUCGUAUUGGCCCUAAGCGUAGUAAUUUUUUCUCGCUUCUAGUGGUUCCAGUGCUGGCGUCCAGCCGUAAAACCCCUAAUUUUCUAGUGGUUGACCUCGGAUCAGGUAGGAAUACCCGCUGAACUUAA